AUUGAACGCUGGCGGCAGGCCUAACACAUGCAAGUCGAACGGUAACAGGAAGAAGCUUGCUUCUUUGCUGACGAGUGGCGGACGGGUGAGUAAUGUCUGGGAAACUGCCUGAUGGCGGGGGAUAACUACUGGAAACGGUAGCUAAUACCGCAUAAUGUCGCAAGACCAAAGAGGGGGACCUUCGGGCCUCUUGCCAUCGGAUGUGCCCAGAUGGGAUUAGCUAGUAGGUGGGGUAACGGCUCACCUAGGCGACGAUCCCUAGCUGGUCUGAGAGGAUGACCAGCCACACUGGAACUGAGACACGGUCCAGACUCCUACGGGAGGCAGCAGUGGGGAAUAUUGCACAAUGGGCGCAAGCCUGAUGCAGCUAUGCCGCGUGUAUGAAGAAGGCCUUCGGGUUGUAAAGUACUUUCAGCGGGGAGGAAGGGAUUAAAGUUAAUACCUUGGCUCAUUGACGUUACCCGCAGAAGAAGCACCGGCUAACUCCGUG
rnacentral:rRNA from 1 species